rnacentral:tRNA from 1 species
CGGGGCGUGGCGCAGUUGGACAGCGCGCUGCGUUUGGGACGCAGAGGUCGCCGGUUCGAGUCCGGCCGCCCCGA